rnacentral:tRNA from 1 species
CAGAAAAUAGUUUAUAAAAAUAUUAAUUUUGGAGAUUAAUGAUGAAAGAAUUUUCUUUUCUGA